rnacentral:rRNA from 2 species
UGAUCCUGGCUCAGGACGAACGCUGGCGGCGUGCUUAACACAUGCAAGUCGAACGGGAUUUAGUAAACAGAAACUUCGGUGGAAGAUUACUAAUGAGAGUGGCGAACGGGUGAGUAACGCGUGAGCAACCUGCCUAUGACAGUGGGAUAGCCUCGGGAAACCGGGAUUAAUACCGCAUAAAAUCGUAGAAACACAUGUUUUAACGGUCAAAGAUUUAUCGGUCAUAGAUGGGCUCGCGUCUGAUUAGCUAGUUGGUGAGAUAACAGCCCACCAAGGCGACGAUCAGUAGCCGGUCUGAGAGGAUGAACGGCCACAUUGGAACUGAGACACGGUCCAAACUCCUACGGGAGGCAGCAGUGGGGAAUAUUGCACAAUGGGGGAAACCCUGAUGCAGCGACGCCGCGUGAACGAAGAAGGUAUUCGUAUCGUAAAGUUCUGUCCUAUGGGAAGAUAAUGACAGUACCAUAGAAGAAAGCUCCGGCUAAAUACGUGCCAGCAGCCGCGGUAAUACGUAUGGAGCGAGCGUUGUCCGGAAUUAUUGGGCGUAAAGGGUACGCAGGCGGUUUAAUAAGUCGAAUGUUAAAGAUCGGGGCUCAACCCCGUAAAGCAUUGGAAACUGAUAAACUUGAGUAGUGGAGAGGAAAGUGGAAUUCCUAGUGUAGUGGUGAAAUACGUAGAUAUUAGGAGGAAUACCAGUAGCGAAGGCGACUUUCUGGACACAAACUGACGCUGAGGCUCGAAAGCGUGGGGAGCAAACAGGA